CUUGUACAUCUGAAAGUUCUUGGUUCACGUACUGCUGAAGCCUGCCCUAGCUUUAGUACCCAGGUUCACAACAGCUUCAUUACUUUUUAUGGCCAAACAAUAUUCUGUUCAUCCACUGGAGGACCCUUGGGUUGUUUUCACCUUUUGGCUAUUGUGACCACUGCUGCUGUGAACGUGGCACCUGGGGUUGGAGGGGUGCCCUCCACACUGGUCACAACUGUAGCGUGAAUAAGCCUGGGCUAGCGACUUUAAGAUGAAGGUAACAGGGAUUAACUGAAGUAACCCUCACGAAAUGGACAAGUGGCUUAAACAUCUCCCUGCAGAGAAGCGGCAGAUGGAGGAUAAUUCUAGUAACACAGAAUUUAAUACUAAAGGCAUCAUCCAUGGACUUCCCUGGUGGUCCAGUGGUUAAGAAUCCACCUGCCAAUGCAUAGGACAGGGGUUUGAUCCCUGGACUGGGAAGAUCCCACGUGCCGCGGAAGCAACUAAGCCCGAGUGCCACAGUUACUGAGCCUGUGAGCCCCAGAGCCCACGCUCCCUAAGAAGAGAAGCUGCCACAGUGAGAAGCCCAGGCACCACAACUAGAAAAUAGCCUCUAGUUGCUGAAACUAGAAAAAGCCUACAUGCAGCAAUGAAGACCCAGUGCAGUCAAAUAUAA